rnacentral:rRNA from 1 species
AACGAACGUUGGCGGCGUGGAUUAGGCAUGCAAGUCGAACGCGAAUCCCUGGGCAACUGGGGAGGAGAGUGGCGAAAGGGGCAGUAAGGCGUGGGUAACCUACCCUCCGGGCCGGGAUAGCUUCGGAAAACGAAGGGAAUAACGGGCGACGCCACGAGGUCGCAUGGUUUUGGUGCCAAAAGGUCGGCGCCGGGGGGGGGGCUCACGGGGUUUUAGCUAGACGGCGGGGUAACGGCCCACCGGGGCAAAGAUGCCUAGCAGGUGUGAGAGCACGACCUGCGCCACUGGAACUGAGACACUGGCCAGACACCUACGGGUGGCUGCAGUCGAGGAUCUUCGGCAAUGGGCGCAAGCCUGACCGAGCGACGCCGCGUGUGCGAUGAAGGCCUUCGGGUUGUAAAGCACUGUCGAGGGGGAGGAAGCCGCAAGGUUGACCUAUCCCUGGAGGAAGCACGGGCUAAGUUCGUG